GACGAACGCUGGCGGCGUGCCUAAUACAUGCAAGUUGAGCGAUGAAGCUUGGUGCUUGCACCAAUUUGAAGAGCAGCGAACGGGUGAGUAACGCGUGGGGAAUCUGCCUUUGAGCGGGGGACAACAUUUGGAAACGAAUGCUAAUACCGCAUAACAACUUUAAACAUAAGUUUUAAGUUUGAAAGAUGCAAUUGCAUCACUCAAAGAUGAUCCCGCGUUGUAUUAGCUAGUUGGUGAGGUAAAGGCUCACCAAGGCGAUGAUACAUAGCCGACCUGAGAGGGUGAUCGGCCACAUUGGGACUGAGACACGGCCCAAACUCCUACGGGAGGCAGCAGUAGGGAAUCUUCGGCAAUGGACGAAAGUCUGACCGAGCAACGCCGCGUGAGUGAAGAAGGGUUUCGGAUCGUAAAACUCUGUUGGUAGAGAAGAACGUUGGUGAGAGUGGAAAGCUCAUCAAGUGACGGUAACUACCCAGAAAGGGACGGCUAACUACGUG
rnacentral:rRNA from 1 species